AAGUCGUAACAAGGUCUCCGUUGGUGAACCAGCGGAGGGAUCAUUACAGAGUGUAAAAACUCCACAAACCCACUGUUUACCUAUCUUAUUGAGCGUCUGCUUCGGCGGGCGGCCCCAGGGCGGGGCCGCUGUUCGCGCUUCGGCGCGGGCGCCCGCCGGAGGAGACAACCAAACUCUUAUAGUAAAACUCUGAGCACAAAGACAAAUAAUCAAAACUUUCAACAACGGAUCUCUUGGUUCUG
rnacentral:misc_RNA from 1 species